AGCAGCAAUUGGUGAUACAAAUUUUGGGUCACUUCAGAGGACGUUGAUAUUCACAUUUUGCUAUUUGUGUGGAAGUAUCAGAAAGGACCGCCUGCUAAAUAGGCUAUGACAAUCCAUGCAUUGUGGUUUUAUUUGAGAUAGUGUGAAGAGCCUGAUAAUGGUCAAUUCAAAUGGAUUCUUGAGCUUGAUUUUCUGUUUUGAAUUGUUAAUAUGCUUCUUUGUUUAGAUUUUUAGCUGCAAAAGAUGGGCUGUUUGACAGGAAGAUGAUGUCUUGUGUUAUUAUGCAGUAGUGAUUUUAUACAUAUAAAUUUGAACAUUUGUAUGAAAUGUUAGGAAACAAGAAUCCCAG
rnacentral:misc_RNA from 1 species